rnacentral:tRNA from 1 species
GCCUCCAUAGUUAAAUGGAUAUAACGGAAUCCUCCUAAGAUUCAAUUGUAGGUUCGAUUCCUACUGGGGGUACCA